rnacentral:tRNA from 1 species
UCGAAAUGGGUAGACGCUACGGACUUAAAAUCCGUUGGCUUUUUAGACCGUGAGGGUUCAAGUCCCUCUACCCCCA